rnacentral:lncRNA from 1 species
GUGAAAUGCAAAUUCUGAUUCAGUAGGUGAAGAGGGAGAAUUCUGAGAUUCUAGGCAUCCAAUUAGUUACCAGAUGGUGCCUAUGCUGUUGGUCUACAGGCUGUAUUUUAUAUAGCAGGGUUUGGUACAAUCUUUCUCAACCAGACCUGGAAGAGAAGUUGUAACAUGGCUGCUGCUCUGCAAGCUCACAUCCACUAUCCAGGCUGAAGCCAGAAGAAGUGGGAAGAGAAAAACCAAAGGACAGUGCCCUCUGUAAACCACUUUUAAAAAACGUUUCUCAGCAGCUACUCUUUAGAGGUAUGAUGGAUCUCCCCACAAAGUCUGGUUCAGGUGUCAAGACCUACACACCAAGAAACGAUGAGAAGAAUUAUCAUUCACAUGAGACUUUCUGGGGCAAGCAGAGUGGCUACCAAACAGGUCUUAAAAUGGCUUGAGAAAUCCAGAGAUUUGAAGUUCAGGAUAGAAAACAGCAUCAAUAUUAUCAGAAUGCACAAGCCACGAACCCCAUUGCCAGACUGCUUGUUACAUGGCAGGUCCCAGAUAAUAAUUAGGAAAACAAAUCAGGACCGAAACUCCAGAGAGGCACUUUUGAAGUGGCCUCCGAUGCGAAGGUGAGAUCAGAAAUACGCCUGUGGAACCCUCUACAUGCGGAUCUGGCAAGCAUUCAACACAAACGCAAUUAGAGGGCUUACCCUUGCAUGAAAUAUUUGCUUUCCUGAUAGUCACUAACUUUAAACUUUAGGAAUGCCAGGGCAUAGUGUUUCUGUAUCAGAACUAGAAUCCUCUACUUCACUUUCUUCAGCUAUUAUUUUUGAAGUUUGCAUAUCGUAUUAAAGUCCCACCAAACAAUAAAUAGGAAAGCAUGAUUUUAUUAAAAUCCUCUUGAGACAACCGCAUCUGCCCUGGCUAUUCUUUGAUCAGGGUCUGAGAGGUUGCAGCAUGCACACUCACCCAGAGGUACUUGAGAGCAUUGUUCACGUAUUCAAUGAAUAUUGAAUGCUAGAGUGAAUCUACACUGGGCUUAGAUCAGCAUAAAUCUCCACAACUCACCUUCAAUGGUGGACACAGGCAACUAACCAGG